rnacentral:rRNA from 1 species
AUUGAACGCUGGCGGCAGGCUUAACACAUGCAAGUCGAGCGGGGGAAGGUAGCUUGCUACCGGACCUAGCGGCGGACGGGUGAGUAAUGCUUAGGAAUCUGCCUAUUAGUGGGGGACAACAUCUCGAAAGGGAUGCUAAUACCGCAUACGUCCUACGGGAGAAAGCAGGGGAUCUUCGGACCUUGCGCUAAUAGAUGAGCCUAAGUCGGAUUAGCUAGUUGGUGGGGUAAAGGCCUACCAAGGCGACGAUCUGUAGCGGGUCUGAGAGGAUGAUCCGCCACACUGGGACUGAGACACGGCCCAGACUCCUACGGGAGGCAGCAGUGGGGAAUAUUGGACAAUGGGGGGAACCCUGAUCCAGCCAUGCCGCGUGUGUGAAGAAGGCCUUGUGGUUGUAAAGCACUUUAAGCGAGGAGGAGGCUACUCUAGUUAAUACCUAGGGAUAGUGGACGUUACUCGCAGAAUAAGCACCGGCUAACUCUGUGCCAGCAGCCGAAGUAA